rnacentral:rRNA from 1 species
AAUGACUCUCGGCAACGGAUAUCUCGGCUCUCGCAUCGAUGAAGAACGUAGCGAAAUGCGAUACUUGGUGUGAAUUGCAGAAUCCCGUGAACCAUCGAGUCUUUGAACGCAAGUUGCGCCCGAAGCCAUUUUAAUGGCCGAGGGCACGUCUGGCUGGGUGUCACGCAACG